CCCUCCAAGGAUGAGAGAGUGUGAUUUGCCCAAGGUCCCUCAGUGGGUUUCCAAGGUCAAGCAGGGAUUUGAACCCUGGUUGCCUAGUGUCAAAGUCCAGCACUCAAACCAUGACACCAUGCUGAGUCCCAUGUCCUGUACUCAGUUUAUAUUCUCAAGUACACAUCUGGUCUCCCUCUCAACUCACUGUGGGGUUUGUUUUCAAAGUGGCCAGCCUUUGAGAAGGAUACAAUCAAGCAAAGUGGUGGGGAACAUGCUUUUCGUCUUGGUCUCCCAGAUCUGAUUUUGAGAGAUACAGUAAAGCAAAAGAUUUAUUUAAGUAACAAGGCUGACAAGAAGAUUUCAGUAGGCAGGGUUGCCAUGGGAUUUGGGGUCUUGAUGGAGCAAGUAGGAGGUAUUUGGGGUGAGUGGAUCCCAGAUACGAGAGUAGCUUUUGCAGGGUGCAGGGAGCUUGUAGCAAACUCUGUUACAGUAUUUGGAAGAACAAACCACCAGUGCUGAUUUCAGUGGAUUGGAUAAGGAUGAACAUCCAGAUAAGACAGAGGCACAGGUGAAAGAGAGGUAAUCUGUAUAGAUUAGUGGCAAGGAAUCACAUACUAGUUUAAGGAGCAAGUUUGCUGUCUGGGAUUGUUUCUGAACCUGGUAUUACUGCUGAUGUCAAGGCAUUGGUUUUGCACAGGAGUGCCUUUUACUAAUUUCAGUCUACAGACCUCAGCCAUAUUGUGGAGGAAACAAAAUUAUGUUUGGCCACUCUUCUAUGUGCUCUGGUAAUCUCUUGGCUAAAAUACUUAUAAUGUGGCCUUUGGAGAGGCAGCCCUUGAUGAUAGUUAGGAAAUUUCAGCUAGGGCAGAAUAUAAUGGCACAGCCUUGGAUAGAGUGGAUUCUGAGAUACUUUGCUAUCAGAAGCAAAGGACAAGAAGUGCAUGCAUGUGUGUGCAUACACAUACGCACACACACCAGUUCAGGUGCUGAUUGUACUGUACUGGGAUAGCAUCCUUUAUAGUGUUUGAAGAUACCAGGCUUCAUGUAAAUAGCCUUGUUUCACAGCAGUUCAAGAUGUGGUCAUCCCAGGAGGAACUGCCAAGCUCUGAAGUCAUUGCCUCUGCCCACUAUCUGCUACAAACAGCAGCAGCAGCAUGUAAACAGCAGCUGGGGGUAAUAUUUUUAUCAGGAAAAUUGUGCAGGGAUGAGAGAAUUAAAUCCCCUUCUUCUACUAUUGUGAUCGCCACCUCCUGCAUGGAAGCAAUGAAAAUUUCAGCAGAAUGUGGUCUCAUCUGCUUUGGCUCUGAGAACUAACUUUAAUAGAUGGUGUGUUACUAUAGUAGAGAUACUGCAUGAGGAGACAUGUAAACUGUUGAAGAAGCAUCUAACUAUUUCUGUAUAGCCAGCUACACAACAUCAUCAUCAUCUCCUGGGACCUCUGAAGAAACUCCAGGAGGAUGUAUUUGACUACUAAAUGACUGCAAUACAGUAAAGGAAGAAAAUGUCUGGAGGGAUUUUCUGCCUUACAGUUCAUAAUGCUGAGAGGUCUGCCAAAGAUGCAAGUACAUCCCCCAUCAAAUCCUGAUCACCAAAAGAUACUGAGCCCCAAUAUGGAGAAUUACAGCCCAGAAACUUCCAGGAGGUGCAGUUCUCAGUUUUAAAGAGAUACAGAAAGUCGGAGGAAGCCAAAUAUGACAUUGAUUGUAAAGAACUUUUGUGCUCCUCUGAGGAAUAGUGGAAUCUGUGGAACAAGUAAGUAACAACUGUUCAUUUGUUGCUCGGUAAAUAAACAUCUGGAGCGGUCCUGUGUUCUGUACAUAGGGAAAUUUGCAUUGUAGGUUUACGGUAAAGAUGACUGCUUCAUACAGUUAAGGUGCUACAGAAAGGAGAACUCAAAAGUAUUAUUAAUUAUGCUGAUUCUGCUGGCAAAGCUUACUGUUUACAUCUACUUGCCACACUACUUGGAAUUUUUAGUGGCAAACGUGGAAUCUCCUCACUGGUAGCACUGUGUCCCUCUGUUGUUGAGACAAGAGAAGGAAUUUUCAAAGGGCAAUGUUCAGACCAAAAGCUAUGCAGCCUGUAACUUUGCAUAGGGCUAGAUUUGUGCCUGCUUGGUUAGUUAAUAUUUUCUUACGCUUCCAGGUCAUUGAGUUUGAUGACGACCGGUGUUGAUUUUGGAUGCUGAUUACUAGAGUUUCCCAUUGGCCUGGGUAAACAAUUUGCACUUUAGCCAAAGUGCAGUCAAGCAGAGCUGAGUUGUCAUGUCUAUUUCUAGUUUUCAUUGAUAAAAAGGAGGGGGACCGAAAGGGACAAUGAGAGCUGGAGUGCUGCCAAGUUGUUGAUUUGUCCAUUCAAAGGGCAGCAAAGAACUAGCAGAGCAUAUACCAAUUCUCUUUUGUGUCAGGCCAACAUUAGACUCUGAUCCUCCACAAUCCUGGGAGAAAUCGUAGAAGCUCUUUUGCAAUGACUGAGUGAGGUGUCCGUUAAAGUCAUAUAACUUGAACUUUGGGUUGGACAUUUGCUAUGUGACAGCAGUACCUGAUCAAACUACUUGGUCUGUGUAUGCAGAUUGAUACUGAACCUUUUGAUAAUAAAGUGUAAGAACACAGACUGUUACCUGACAUUCACGUCUGUUACUUCUUUUAAAAUAACAACAGGUACUCUGUGGUGUCUUUGCCAAAUGGACUGAUGGUAGCAUAAAUCUGCAUGGAUGAGAGCAGCAUCUCUUAAGCUAUCUGAUGUUAAGGAAUGAUAACGUUUCCCUCAGUGUGCCAGAGACAAGUACAGUGCUCCCUCGGGUUACGAAAUUAAUUCGUUCCGCCGCGGCGUUCGUAACCCGAUGCAUUUCGCAAGCCGAAAAGGGCUUUUCGUUAGCGCUGGCAAGCCGCGCGUUUGAAUU